GCCCGAGUGGCGGAAUGGCAGACGCGGUGGUCUCAAAAACCUCUGUCCACAAGACGUGCGAGUUCGAAUCUCGCCUCGGGCA
rnacentral:tRNA from 1 species